rnacentral:rRNA from 1 species
UACGGAGGAUCCAAGCGUUAUCCGGAAUCAUUGGGUUUAAAGGGUCCGUAGGCGGUUUAAUAAGUCAGUGGUGAAAGCCCAUCGCUCAACGGUGGAACGGCCAUUGAUACUGUUAGACUUGAAUUAUUAGGAAGUAACUAGAAUAUGUAGUGUAGCGGUGAAAUGCUUAGAGAUUACAUGGAAUACCAAUUGCGAAGGCAGGUUACUACUAAUUG